UACGUAGGGUGCGAGCGUUGUCCGGAAUUACUGGGCGUAAAGAGCUCGUAGGCGGUCUGUCGCGUCGGCUGUGAAAACCCGGGGCUCAACCCCGGGCCUGCAGUCGAUACGGGCAGACUAGAGUGCGGUAGGGGAGACUGGAAUUCCUGGUGUAGCGGUGAAAUGCGCAGAUAUCAGGAGGAACACCGGUGGCGAAGGCGGGUCUCUGGGCCGUAACUGACGCUGAGGAGCGAAAGCGUGGGGAGCGAACAGG
rnacentral:rRNA from 1 species